UCCCAUAUUGUCUAGUGGUUAGGAUACCUGGCUCUCACCUUGGAGGCCCGGGUUCAAUUCCCGGUAUGGGAA
rfam:Daphnia pulex DAPPTscaffold_3473_Cont14909, whole genome shotgun sequence.